UACGUAGGGCGCAAGCGUUGUCCGGAAUUAUUGGGCGUAAAGAGCUCGUAGGCGGCUUGUCACGUCGGGUGUGAAAAGCCCGGGGCUUAACCCCCGGGUCUGCAUUCGAUACGGGCAGGCUAGAGUGUGGUAGGGAAGAUCGGAAUUCCUGGUGUAGCGGUGAAAUGCGCAGAUAUCAGGAGGAACACCGGUGGCGAAGGCGGAUCUCUGGGCCAUUACUGACGCUGAGGAGCGAAAGCGUGGGGAGCGAACAGG
rnacentral:rRNA from 1 species